rnacentral:rRNA from 1 species
UACAGAGACUGCAAGCGUUAUUCGGAUUCACUGGGCGUAAAGGGUGCGCAGGCGGCCAAGUGUGUGAGGCGUGAAAGCCCGGGGCUUAACCCCGGAAUUGCACCUCAAAACUACUUGGCUAGAGCAUUGGAGAGGGUAGCAGAAUUCAUGGUGUAGCAGUGAAAUGCGUAGAUAUCAUGAGGAAUACCAGAGGCGAAGGCGGCUACCUGGACAAUUGCUGACGCUCAGGCACGAAAGCGUGGGGAGCAAAAGGG